GCUAGUGUAGCUUAACCCUAAAGCAUAACACUGAA
rnacentral:tRNA from 1 species